GGGGGUAGAUCUAUCUCAUGACGAGUGGUGGAAUACUUUGACUCAUGAGAGAGAAGCUGAGGCGAAGGCGUCUACCUAGAGGGUUUCUGUCGAUCAAGGGCGAGAGUAGGAGUAUCCAACAGGAUUAGAGACCCUGGUAGUUCCUACCUUAAACGAUGCCGACAGGAGUUUGUCAUUUGUUAAUGGCAGAAUCUUUGGAGAAAUCAUAGUUCUUGGGCUCUGGGGGAACUACGACCGCAAGGCUGAAACUUGAAGGAAUUGACGGAAGGGCACACCAGGGGUGGAGCCUGUGGCUUAAUUUGAAUCAACACGGGGAAACUUACCAGGACCAGAUGUUUUUUAUGACUGACAGGCUUCGGGUCUUUCAGGAUAUUGUUUUUGGUGGUGCAUGGCCGUUGGUGGUGCGUGGGUUGACCUGUCUAGCGUUGAUUCAGCUAACGAGCGAGAUUAUCGCCAAUUAUUUACUUUGCCGAAGUCCUUCGGUUAAAGUUCUAAUUGGGACUCCCUGCGAUUUUAGCAGGUGGAAGAGGGUAGCAAUAACAGGUCCGUGAUGCCCUUUAGAUGCUCUGGGCUGCACGCGUGCUACAAUGUUAGGAUCAAUAGGACUGCGAGCCUGAGAGGGUGCGCUACUCUUAUAAUCCCUAACGUAGUUGGGAUUGACGUUUGUAAUCAGCGUCAUGAACCAGGAAUCCCUUGUAAAUGUGUGUCAACAACGCACGUUGAAUACGUCCCUGCCCUUUGUACACACCGCCCGUCGCUCCUACCGAUUGGAUGACUCGGUGAAAUCACCGGAUGCUUACGAGCAGAAAGUGAUUAAAUCACGUUAUCUAGAGGAAGGAGAAGUCGUAACAAGGUAACGGUAGGUGAACCUGCCGUUGGAUCAGUU
rnacentral:ncRNA from 1 species